GGGUUGUGAGGUUAAGCGACUAAGCGUACACGGUGGAUGCCCUGGCAGUCAGAGGCGAUGAAGGACGUGCUAAUCUGCGAUAAGCGUCGGUAAGGUGAUAUGAACCGUUAUAACCGGCGAUUUCCGAAUGGGGAAACCCAGUGUGAUUCGUCACACUAUCAUUAACUGAAUCCAUAGGUUAAUGAGGCGAACCGGGGGAACUGAAACAUCUAAGUACCCCGAGGAAAAGAAAUCAACCGAGAUUCCCCCAGUAGCGGCGAGCGAACGGGGAGCAGCCCAGAGCCUGAAUCAGUGUGUGUGUUAGUGGAAGCGUCUGGAAAGGCGCGCGAUACAGGGUGACAGCCCCGUACACAAAAAUGCACAUGCUGUGAGCUCGAUGAGUAGGGCGGGACACGUGGUAUCCUGUCUGAAUAUGGGGGGACCAUCCUCCAAGGCUAAAUACUCCUGACUGACCGAUAGUGAACCAGUACCGUGAGGGAAAGGCGAAAAGAACCCCGGCGAGGGGAGUGAAAAAGAACCUGAAACCGUGUACGUACAAGCAGUGGGAGCACAGAGCAAUCUGUGUGACUGCGUACCUUUUGUAUAAUGGGUCAGCGACUUAUAUUCUGUAGCAAGGUUAACCGAAUAGGGGAGCCGAAGGGAAACCGAGUCUUAACUGGGCGUUAAGUUGCAGGGUAUAGACCCGAAACCCGGUGAUCUAGCCAUGGGCAGGUUGAAGGUUGGGUAACACUAACUGGAGGACCGAACCGACUAAUGUUGAAAAAUUAGCGGAUGACUUGUGGCUGGGGGUGAAAGGCCAAUCAAACCGGGAGAUAGCUGGUUCUCCCCGAAAGCUAUUUAGGUAGCGCCUCGUGAAUUCAUCUCCGGGGGUAGAGCACUGUUUCGGCAAGGGGGUCAUCCCGACUUACCAACCCGAUGCAAACUGCGAAUACCGGAGAAUGUUAUCACGGGAGACACACGGCGGGUGCUAACGUCCGUCGUGAAGAGGGAAACAACCCAGACCGCCAGCUAAGGUCCCAAAGUCAUGGUUAAGUGGGAAACGAUGUGGGAAGGCCCAGACAGCCAGGAUGUUGGCUUAGAAGCAGCCAUCAUUUAAAGAAAGCGUAAUAGCUCACUGGUCGAGUCGGCCUGCGCGGAAGAUGUAACGGGGCUAAACCAUGCACCGAAGCUGCGGCAGCGACACUUAUGUGUUGUUGGGUAGGGGAGCGUUCUGUAAGCCUGCGAAGGUGUGCUGUGAGGCAUGCUGGAGGUAUCAGAAGUGCGAAUGCUGACAUAAGUAACGAUAAAGCGGGUGAAAAGCCCGCUCGCCGGAAGACCAAGGGUUCCUGUCCAACGUUAAUCGGGGCAGGGUGAGUCGACCCCUAAGGCGAGGCCGAAAGGCGUAGUCGAUGGGAAACAGGUUAAUAUUCCUGUACUUGGUGUUACUGCGAAGGGGGGACGGAGAAGGCUAUGUUGGCCGGGCGACGGUUGUCCCGGUUUAAGCGUGUAGGCUGGUUUUCCAGGCAAAUCCGGAAAAUCAAGGCUGAGGCGUGAUGACGAGGCACUACGGUGCUGAAGCAACAAAUGCCCUGCUUCCAGGAAAAGCCUCUAAGCAUCAGGUAACAUCAAAUCGUACCCCAAACCGACACAGGUGGUCAGGUAGAGAAUACCAAGGCGCUUGAGAGAACUCGGGUGAAGGAACUAGGCAAAAUGGUGCCGUAACUUCGGGAGAAGGCACGCUGAUAUGUAGGUGAAGUCCCUCGCGGAUGGAGCUGAAAUCAGUCGAAGAUACCAGCUGGCUGCAACUGUUUAUUAAAAACACAGCACUGUGCAAACACGAAAGUGGACGUAUACGGUGUGACGCCUGCCCGGUGCCGGAAGGUUAAUUGAUGGGGUCAGCGCAAGCGAAGCUCUUGAUCGAAGCCCCGGUAAACGGCGGCCGUAACUAUAACGGUCCUAAGGUAGCGAAAUUCCUUGUCGGGUAAGUUCCGACCUGCACGAAUGGCGUAAUGAUGGCCAGGCUGUCUCCACCCGAGACUCAGUGAAAUUGAACUCGCUGUGAAGAUGCAGUGUACCCGCGGCAAGACGGAAAGACCCCGUGAACCUUUACUAUAGCUUGACACUGAACAUUGAGCCUUGAUGUGUAGGAUAGGUGGGAGGCUUUGAAGUGUGGACGCCAGUCUGCAUGGAGCCGACCUUGAAAUACCACCCUUUAAUGUUUGAUGUUCUAACGUUGACCCGUGAUCCGGGUUGCGGACAGUGUCUGGUGGGUAGUUUGACUGGGGCGGUCUCCUCCUAAAGAGUAACGGAGGAGCACGAAGGUUGGCUAAUCCUGGUCGGACAUCAGGAGGUUAGUGCAAUGGCAUAAGCCAGCUUGACUGCGAGCGUGACGGCGCGAGCAGGUGCGAAAGCAGGUCAUAGUGAUCCGGUGGUUCUGAAUGGAAGGGCCAUCGCUCAACGGAUAAAAGGUACUCCGGGGAUAACAGGCUGAUACCGCCCAAGAGUUCAUAUCGACGGCGGUGUUUGGCACCUCGAUGUCGGCUCAUCACAUCCUGGGGCUGAAGUAGGUCCCAAGGGUAUGGCUGUUCGCCAUUUAAAGUGGUACGCGAGCUGGGUUUAGAACGUCGUGAGACAGUUCGGUCCCUAUCUGCCGUGGGCGCUGGAGAACUGAGGGGGGCUGCUCCUAGUACGAGAGGACCGGAGUGGACGCAUCACUGGUGUUCGGGUUGUCAUGCCAAUGGCACUGCCCGGUAGCUAAAUGCGGAAGAGAUAAGUGCUGAAAGCAUCUAAGCACGAAACUUGCCCCGAGAUGAGUUCUCCCUGACUCCUUGAGAGUCCUGAAGGAACGUUGAAGACGACGACGUUGAUAGGCCGGGUGUGUAAGCGCAGCGAUGCGUUGAGCUAACCGGUACUAAUGAACCGUGAGGCUUAACCUUACAACGCCGAAG
rnacentral:rRNA from 1 species